UACGUAGGCAGCAAGCGUUUGUUCGGAAUUACUGGGCGUAAAGAGUGUGUAGGCGGUGCGGUAAGUCACCUGUGAAACCUCUGGGCUUAACUCAGAGCCUGCAGGCGAAACUACCGUGCUUGAGUGUGGGAGAGGUGCGUGGAAUUCCCGGUGUAGCGGUGAAAUGCGUAGAUAUCAGGAGGAACACCGGUGGUGUAGACGGCUCACUGGACCAUAACUGACGCUGAGACACGAAAGCGUGGGUAGCAAACAGG
rnacentral:rRNA from 1 species